CACAACCUAGGAAUGGGUCCAAAGUCUUAACAACCGGAUUCAUUUCUUUUAUACUAUAUACCUGUAGCCCGUAGGUUAUUUUACACAAUGUUUUAACCAACUUCGUGCAUGGAACCCAGUUUCAGGACGUGGGAUUCUCCACGGGAGGUUUUCACUUUGGAACACUUUCAAGUUUGGAUAUUCGGAUUAGCUACACCCACGCUGUAGUCAUCGUUCACGCCUUGCUCCUCAUGACAAGCUUUGAGGGUAGUUCAGUCAUUGCCCACUGUUUGAUAGAUGAGGAAUCCUCGGCAUAUCUCUCUCAGAUCUCUCCCAGAUCACUUGCCCAAGGUCACUGACGAUGAGGAGCAUAGUCCCUGCAGCAUCGAUGGUACACUGCUGAACAUGGCUGCCUACCAGGAUCGAAGCCAGACUUCAAGCCACAUCUGAACCUGACUCCAGAGCCUGUGCCUUUAAUCCUAUACUACACCACACCUGCUGGAGUGGACCCCCUUUCCUGGCACUACUGUUGGUUAUAAAUGCUGCACAAAGCCUAACACCAGCCAGUACCUGGAACAGCCUUGACAGAGAUGUGUGGCGAGGAAGCAUGAGGACCAUGGCGUCAAGUCAACCUGUGCUCCAGGUGAGUCUAUGCUACAAGCCAGCUGUGGGGUCUGCACAGAUCAACUGCUCUUAGCUUCUGGGUUGAGUUCUUAUCUCUAGAAGGAGCUGGUAAUUUUGCCAUGAGCUCUAUGGCCUAGAAGCCUUGAGGAUGAGGAACCAUCUACACUAUUUUUCCUUAGCUUUUGAGUGUCUGUCUGGGACAUUGCCUGAGUGGGAACAUGGCAUGAUGUCUAUAGCAGCACGUAGUAGGUGGCCGGCAAAUAUGUGUGGUGUGAACGAGUCAGAGUGUAUCAUCAGUGUGCAGCAUAAGGUCUGUAAUAAAGUAGCCUCACAUACACUUUACUGAGAAAUGGAAUACAUGCAGGUCUAACCACAGCCAAGUUCAGACUCCAUGUCAACAUAUCUGGUACCUCAUUUCAUCUUUUCUAUACCGUGAACAGGACAUAUGUUUGAAGAUGACAGAGGGUAUCCAAAGGAGUCAACGAUUGCCCAAACUUACCAGCUUCCUGGAAGCAGUCAAACUAGGGCCUCUGGUUGAUGAAUCCACACUCAAGGCAUGACCACCCUGGGCUUUGCGAAAAUUCCAUGUGCUGAUUAAUUUUUGUCAACUUGACCGGAACCUGGACAUUCCUAGGUAGAGGAAAUCUCAACUGAGGUGUUUUCAUCAGAUUGGACUGCCAAUCCAGGUGGGCUAGCUAAGCCUACUGUGGGCGGUACCAACCCUAGGCAGGCGAGCCUGGGCUAAGAAAGGCAGCAGAAUGUAUGUGAUCUGGGAGCAAGCAGUAAACAGUGCACCUCCAUGGUCUCUGCUUCAGUUCCCGCCUCUGGCUCUUGCCUUGCGUUCCUGCCCUGCCUUCCCUCAGUGAUAGAGUUGUAAGCUGAAAUAAGCCCUUUCUUUCUCAGGUUGCUUUUGCUCACAGUGUCUGUCACGUGGGCAUAAAACUAAGACACUCCACUAAGUACUUUCCUAAGUGACACAGCUUAAUGGAUGACUUCUAAGCUGGCUGCCUUGUCCAGGUGGGAGAGAAUUCCUUCUUCAGAAGGGGUUGCCAUGUGGUCUUCGGUGUCACAUGGUCUUAAGUGAUGUCUUAUCCUGGAGCUCCACUGAAGCUGCAUCUCACAAAUCAACAGGGUCCUCAGUCUGCUCCCUCUCGGCUGAUAAAACUUACAUAAUGAUAAAUAAAACAUGCAUUAUAUGCUAUUAUAUAUAACAUGCUAUGUAUUGUGAGAGAUUACACGUUUUGUAUAAACUAUGCAUGUACCUAUCAUCUACUUAUCUAUCUACCUAUGGCAGAUACCUAUAUAUACAUUUGCAUCCUGACAUAUAUAUGGAAAAUAUGGGUGCAUGUAUACACUCAUAUACAUACACACAUGGCAGAUAUAUAUGUGUGUGUAUAUGCUGACAUACAUGUGGUAGAGAUCUAAUCUAUAUACAUGUGUAUGCUCACACACAUGUAUGGCAUAUAUCUCUCUCUAUACACAUGUACAUGCUGACUUCUUUCCAUCUGGGGUCAUUCUGCCCCGACUGUUUUUCU
rnacentral:sRNA from 1 species